rnacentral:misc_RNA from 1 species
GAUGAAGAACGUAGCGAAAUGCGAUAAGUAAUGUGAAUUGCAGAAUUCAGUGAAUCAUCGAAUCUUUGAACGCACAUUGCGCCCCCUGGUAUUCCGGGGGGCAUGCCUGUUCGAGCGUCAUUUCACCACUCAAGCCUCGCUUGGUAUUGGGCAACGCGGUCCGCCGCGUGCCUCAAAUCGACCGGCUGGGUCUUCUGUCCCCUAAGCGUUGUGGAAACUAUUCGCUAAAGGGUGUUCGGGAGGCUACGCCGUAAAACAACCCCAUUUCUAAGGUUGACCUCGGAUCAGGUAGGGAUACCCGCUGAACUUAAGCAUAUCAAUAAGCGGAGGC